AGCAGCCGCGGUAAUUCCAGCUCCAAUAGCGUAUAUUAAAGUUGUUGCAGUUAAAAAGCUCGUAGUUGAAUUUCGGGGUCAGCAAGUUGGUCGUGCCACUGGUAUGCACUGGCUUUGCUGAUUCCUCCUUCUUGAAGAACUGUAAUGCUAUUAAUUUAGUGUUGCAGGGAAACAGGACUGUUACUUUGAAAAAAUUAGAGUGUUUAAAGCAGGCUAACGCUUGAAUACAUUAGCAUGGAAUAAUGAAAUAGGACGUUUGAUCCUAUUUUGUUGGUUUCUAGGAUUGACGUAAUGAUUAAUAGGGAUAGUUGGGGGCAUUAGUAUUCAAUUGUCAGAGGUGAAAUUCUUGGAUUUAUUGAAGACUGACUACUGCGAAAGCAUUUGCCAAGGAUGUUUUCAUUAAUCAAGAACGAAAGUUAGGGGAUCGAAGACGAUCAGAUACCGUCGUAGUCUUAACCAUAAACUAUGCCGACUAGGGAUCGGAUGAUGUAAUUUUUAUGAUUC
rnacentral:rRNA from 1 species